rnacentral:rRNA from 1 species
GAUCCUGGCUCAGGAUGAACGCUAGCUACAGGCUUAACACAUGCAAGUCGAGGGGAAACGACAUCGAAAGCUUGCUUUUGGUGGGUGUCGACCGGCGCACGGGUGAGUAACGCGUAUCCAACCUGCCCACCACUUGGGGAUAACCUUGCGAAAGUAAGACUAAUACCCAAUGAUAUCCCACGAAGGCAUCCGAAUGGGAUUAAAGAUUUAUCGGUGAUGGAUGGGGAUGCGUCUGAUUAG